CAUAAAUCUAGAACGUGCCCAAUCGGCCCGAAGUGCAUGUAACGAGCGGCAUUUGACUCCGUCCCGUUGCGUCUACUCGAGUAGUACGCCUACGUUUCCUCCUAGCCUCCUAUUCCUCCGCUUUCCUUACGGCAAGCUCCUCAGCAUGCUCUUCCUGAUAUAAUGGGUCAAAGAGUUGACCCUCAGGGUACCUCUGCUUCUUCUUACUCCCCCGAGUAGCUUUGUCAAGCGCCUGGGCAGCCUUGACUCUCGCCAACUCAUCCUCCAGAAGCGCGUUCCUCGCCAUCAGCUGCUCACUGGCCUUUUCAAGCUUAAGCAUGGCUGAGAACGGGUCAACUUUCCCCUGUCGGACCGCGCGAUUGUUCGCACGAAGGAUGCGGAGGUUGCGAGGGGUAAGGAGGUCCUCAGUGGUAGCUUGGGGGGAAGGAGUGGCCGGCGCUUGCUCCUCAACUUUCAUGAUGGCAGGAUCAAGAGGAAACAGGCCCGAUUUCCUCCAAGCUCCUCGAAUUUGACGUGAGGUCGCCGUCUCCCGCCACGCCCUCUGGUGCCAGCCCCAAAAUAUCCCCAUGACCACCCCUCUAAGGGAGUUACCGAGCUGGUAUUCAUCCAGUUGUCGAUGGUACGCUGCCUUGAGGGCAUUGAAGAAGUCGACGUCGAGAGGUUGGAACCUGCCGCCCAUCUUCACAGGAAGAAGUAUCACGACAAUGUUCCUAGCCCAACAUGCUUCAAGGAAAUCCACUUUGGUGUGCGAUUCGGCACCAUCGAAGAUGAGUAGUCGUCGUUCACAACCUCCACUAGCAAUAUCGUGAGUAUAGGGGUCAAAGGCGUCUUCAAGCCAUUUCAACAUCACAUAGCUGUUGAUCCAGCCUGAAUCGGUGUUGAUAGCGAGCUGGCGCACCACCCCGUCACCCUUCUCCCGCACCUUGAACCAACUUUCUUGCAGUUGUGCGCCUUGAUAGAUGAUGAGAGGAGGAACUGGUGCAGAAUCGAUGCCGAUGCAAGCCACAGAUGUGAUGUGUUCAUUUGACGGUGGUACAGCUUGGCCAUUCUUUGGAUGGGUACGAGGCGCAACUUUGCGCACCCUUCUAGAGCCGAGAGCUCGAAAGCAACUUCGUCCAUGUUGAAGAUAAGGCGGGGGGCGUAGAGACCAGUAUCGUACACAUCUUUGACCUGUGAAAAGCAUUCAAAUAGUCUCGGCAAAUACUGCGAGAUACAUACAAGGUGGUAGAAAGCUCUGCGUGUCUCAGGAAUGUCUGCUUGUAGACGUCCGAGCUCUUGAUAAGAGAAAAAACGCGAAUGUAUGGUAUCGCAAUGUCGCUGGAUGAACCGUGAGCCCCAAUUGACGCCUAAUUUUCCAUCAUAGACCGCUUCUGCAAGUUCAACGACGUGUCUUGGCGUCAAGAAGGUGUCUCGCCUAGCAUAUUCGUUGAUUUUUUUGACCAAUUCCUCUUCCUGUACGAUAGAGAGGUGUCGAGGGGCCGAGGCCGUAUGGGACGAGUGUACGCCGGUGUGACGGUCGUAGAGGGAUGAUUUUGAGACCUCGUAUAAAUCUGCGGCUUUCUGAUAGCUUUCAAGGGGGUUGUUUAUCUUGUGCUCAAGUGUGAGGGUCAUAGAAUCAGCUGUUGUGGAGAUAUAGAUGUA
rnacentral:sRNA from 1 species